GAUGAAGAACGUAGUGAAAUGCGAUAAGUAAUGUGAAUUGCAGAAUUCAGUGAAUCAUCGAAUCUUUGAACGCACAUUGCGCCCAUUAGUAUUCUAGUGGGCAUGCCUGUUCGAGCGUCAUUUCAACCCUUAAGCCUAGCUUAGUGUUGGGAGACUGCCUAAUACGCAGCUCCUCAAAACCAGUGGCGGAGUCUGUUCGUGCUCUGAGCGUAGUAAUUUUUUAUCUCGCUUCUGCAAGCCGGCCAGACGACAGCCAUAAACCGCACCCUCUCGGGGGGCACUUUUUUAAUGGUUGACCUCGGAUCAGGUAGGAAUACCCGCUGAACUUAAGCAUAUCAAUAAGCGGAGA
rnacentral:misc_RNA from 1 species